rnacentral:rRNA from 1 species
AUUGAACGCUGGCGGCAUGCCUUACACAUGCAAGUCGAACGGCAGCGGGGGAGAAGCUUGCUUUUCCUGCCGGCGAGUGGCGAACGGGUGAGUAAUACAUCGGAACGUGCCCUGUAGUUGGGGAUAACUAGUCGAAAGAUUAGCUAAUACCGCAUACGACCUGAGGGUGAGAGUGGGGUACCGCAAGGCCUCAUGCUAUAGGAGCGGCCGAUGGCUGGAUAGCUAGUUGGUGGGGUAAAGGCCUACCAAGGCGACGAUCAGUAGCUGGUCGGGGAGGACGAUCAGCCACACUGGGACUGAGACACGGCCCAGACUCCUACGGGAGGCAGCAGUGGGGAAUUUUGGACAAUGGGCGAAAGCCUGAUCCAGCAAUGCCGCGUGUGUGAAGAAGGCCUUCGGGUUGUAAAGCACUUUUGUCCGGAAAGAAAUGGCUCUGGUUAAUACCUGGGGUCGAUGACGGUACCGGAAGAAUAAGGACCGGCUAACUACGUGCCAGCCGCCGCGGUAA